rnacentral:rRNA from 1 species
AUUGAACGCUGGCGGCAGGCCUAACACAUGCAAGUCGAGCGGAUGACGGGAGCUUGCUCCUUGAUUCAGCGGCGGACGGGUGAGUAAUGCCUAGGAAUCUGCCUGAUAGUGGGGGACAACGUUUCGAAAGGAACGCUAAUACCGCAUACGUCCUACGGGAGAAAGCAGGGGACCUUCGGGCCUUGCGCUAUCAGAUGAGCCUAGGUCGGGUUAGCUAGUUGGUGGGGUAAUGGCUCACCCAGGCGACGAUCCGUAACUGGUCUGAGAGGAUGAACAGUCACACUGGAACUGAGACACGGUCCAGACUCCUACGGAAGGCAGCAGUGGGGAAUAUUGGACAAUGGGCGAAAGCCUGAUCCAGCCAUGCCGGGUGUGUGAAGAAGGUCUUCGGAUUGUAAAGCACUUUAAGUUGGGAGGAAGGGCAGUAAGCUAAUACCUUGCUGUUUUGACGUUACCGACAGAAUAAGCACCGGCUAACUCUGUGCCAGCCGCCGCCGUAAAAC